GUAGGAACGAAGCCUUUUGCGUGACCCCAGCUCACUCCCGCCUGAAACAGUGUCCACUAGAUCAUCAUCGUCGUCGUCGACAGACCGUAUUUCGACUUCAGUCACACGACCUCGGCACAUCGUUGCGGUGCAUGCACUGUGCGCUGUGUCAAUCAGUCUGAACGAGCCAUUAGGGUGCGACCUGAGAGGCUCUCCAAACAACAUAGGUCUGCUCGGGAACUACAGUUUCGAACACGUCCUGGCCCCGGCGUUGCUGCACUACAUCGUAUUCAUUUGAUGCUGCACGAAGGUGUUGUGCAAGGUGUUGGAGCAUUUGAGCCAUCCUGACCUACGAGAGAAGAGCACAACUACUAUUGUGAUUUUUUUUCUUUUGCCUGUUGUCGUCAUCAUCAGACACUCAUCGGAAGUUACCGAUUUUGUCGGGGUCGGUGUGUUUCGACGAAGCAGUAGGUGGGGGGGAUGUGAAAUGGCGUGAGUUGCCAUGUUGACGCAUUAGUCUCGAGAGCACGGCGAGAGCACAAUGCUGCUGAAUGCACUUUCUGUGUUGAUUAAUGGAGAUUCGAGGUCUGCAAUAGCCUUUGAGCACAUUUAAGUUCUAUUAUGACAGGAUAGCAACUUCAAACUUGACCACCUUUGGUUGCGAACUACUGAAGAAUUUGAGAUCGAGAUAACAUGACCUCGCGAGUUGGAACAACUGUAAGUUCAGCUUUCUAAAGUACGUUUUUUGUUUUCCUAGACACAGUCAAUCGCCUUCGUUUGCAGAUUAUACUUCCAAACAUCAUCACCGACUGUUAAAGCUUAAGUUGCGUGGGUAUAUCUCCAUCUUCUUUCAUGUACUCAUGAGAGCGAUGAGCUGUUGAUGUUACGAAGAACUUGUAAUACCAACUGACGUUGCUGAUCCAACGAUGAAGCUGUGGUUUGAGAUACAGCCUUGUGGAGAAGGUAAUUCGUCGAAGUUUGGAACUCAGGAGAAAAGCAGAAGCCUGUUUACUUUCAAAGAGCAAACUGAGGAAUUUCUAUGAGCGAUCCUUGGAUAUCUCUGUGUAAGUCUGUGAGGCAUGAAGGUAAGCUAGUGCGAAUAAGUCUGAUUUUCGUUCUGAGCUGCUGGUAUUUUAACUAUCGAGUUAUGAGAUGGCUUAGGGUUGGGUCUUCUAGAACAGAUAUUCACCGUCGUCAGCCGGGUGUUCAUAAUUCAUCUUUGUGGCUUUUGUGAAGCACCUGAAUAAAGUGUUGAUAUACGAGAAGACCAGCUUCCAGAAUCCUGCCUGGAUGUUCAUCUCUCAAUUUGCUAAUCUGGUAACAGGUAGCGAACUUGACGACUGGAGAGUGUUGCAGCUUGUGCUAGUGCGUUGGUGUUAGUUUGCUUUGAAACAAGGAGGAUGAACUUCAAGUGAACGUUAGGUCCUUGCUUUAAAAGAUUUGCUUCUCAAAUCAGAGAUCGUACUGCAGAGUGCCAUGGCUCCAAGUAAAGUUUGUAGCGCCAUGAAACAGGUAGUUGGCAAACCAUUUUCGAGUCGCCAAUGCUGUGAAGAUCGAGGUAAUGGUACACAUCGUUUACGUAACUGGGGUCCAGUUUAGUCUACUUUGCAUUGUCAGCAAAAUCAGUCGACGGGGCUACGUCGUCCUUUGCAUCGUUUUACAAGGUUGCAGAUAUCCAGCGGCUACCUGUGGGACCUCCGCCAAGAUCACAGAUUUUAAGGGGAAGACAUCGUCUUCUUACUUGAAACUGGUCGGUACAUCUCUUACCCCAGCGGCCCAGCUUCUUCAUUCGUUGUCGCUCUGAUUCCACAAGCUUAUGAAGAAACUGUACACAUCAGAAAGGUAAGCAUCAAAUAUAUCUUACCAGUCUGUUGCAGCUUCUCUUUUUCUUAACAAUUUUUAUGUAUUAAAACAACAGAAAAGAACAAAGGGUUGCAGAAGUGGAGCUUUUCCCACACAAGCGCACGAAGAAGAAGAAUGUAUGACCGACUCAUCAGUUACAAGUGUGACCGAGACGAUAGGACUCUCUCAAACAAUGACUCUAUCGCCAUGGACUCGUAUAUACCCUCUGAACUCUCCACAUUCAUUCAUUUUUCCCUUGAUAAGACAUCGCAACCAGCUUGAAGUGCUUGAAAGGUGUUCCUGUAACUACUUGAUUGAAUAUUUCUCCGCCAACACAUGGAACUGUGCUGGAGAUUCACCACGCUUCCAAGAGAUGCUUGCAAUCGCAAACCCUCCUACUCCCUUGGCACUGUUGUUAUGGAGGCAAUGCCUCCUGUUUCCUGACAGGAAGGACCCAUGGUUGCACGUCGACCCUUGACAGCCGCAACGAUCCAAGAGGCUCCAACCGAGAUAUUCUAGAAUGUGGUCCGCUCGCUGACAUGUCGUAAGAUACUGUGGGCCAGAGAUCAUUACGUUGCUCACGUCACGGUCAGUUACAAGUGUGCCUACAUGCAAGAGGCUCAGAGUGUCGGUGCCCAUGCUGCGGCAGCAGAGUCGAUAAACGCGACACACCAGGUGAAGUACAUUCCUGUCGCUAGUGUAUUUAUAUCAGGAGCAAUUGACGGCUGAAAGAAGAAAAAAAACACACUGGGGACUUCUAAAUUUGUGCUUGCACAAGUCUUCCUCUCCUUUUAUCGUAACUUGUGUGUGUGAGACAAUCGACAAUGGCUAUCUAGGUGCAUGGGAAGUGACCAGUUAGUUUGAGUAAAGAGUACACCUCGUACGUGUCCAAAAAAAAAAAAAAAAAAAACAAAAGAAAACAAACACUUCAGAGAUAGUAUUGUGUCCAUGACAGGCACUUGUGCUCAUUCAGGGCUUUCCGUGAGCGUCUCAUAGAAGUGUUUGAUAGUCGCUCAACGUUCUGGAAACGAAGAAGGUAAUACACUGCAUGGCCUAAGUUAGAAUUAGGAUUUUUUAUUUUUUUAUUUUUAUUUUUUAUGCUGCGGUGCUUAUAGCAAAUGUUGAGGCAGCAAGAGUAAUAGAACAUGAAGGACCCUUAGGUGGUGUUUGCUCAGUUGAGGCAGUAGAGCAGACACAAAUGGAGAGCUUGAGCCCCUCAAAGUAGUACACCAAGUCAUGAGUUCUUAGAACUUUCUUGAAAUUUGGAGAUUUGUGAUGUAGGGACUGAAAACUAUAUCAUUGAAGUUACUAUUGAAGUUGCGAAACAA